rnacentral:lncRNA from 1 species
CAAAUAAGAGAUGGUUAUCCCUAUCAGGUGCGCAAUUGGCAUCGGCAGCCUACCCUAUCGCCGCUUAUGAAACCGGCAUGGAUAGGUGGUAGCACUAGCAGCCGAUAGCGACAAUGUGUUUUGUAGUAGAGGUAGGAUUUUAUACUCUGUUUCCAUAUGAACUUUUAGAUGAAGAAAGCAUAAGUUUGGGUCAAGAUAUAUGCAGCUAAAAUUUUCAUUUAAGAUGUAAACAUACCUUCUUGCUUUCUAC